CUCCUACGGGAGGCAGCAGUGGGGAAUUUUGGGCAAUGGGGGAAACCCUGACCGAGCAACGCCGCGUGAAGGAAGAAGUAUUUCGUUAUGUAAACUUCUGUCAUAGAGGAAGAACGGGGGAUAUAGGGAAUGAUAUCCAAGUGACGGCUCUCUAUAAGAAAGCCACGGCUAACUACGUGCCAGCAGCCGCGGUAAUACGUAUGGGGCCAAGCGUUAUCCGGAUUUACUGGGUGUAAAGGGAGCGUAGACGGAUGGACAAGUCUGAUGUGAAAGGCUGGGGCUCAACCCCGGGACUGCAUUGGAAACUGCCCAUCUUGAGUGCCGGAGAGGUAAGCGGAAUUCCUAGUGUAGCGGUGAAAUGCGUAGAUAUUAGGAGGAACACCAGUGGCGAAGGCGGCUUACUGGACGGUAACUGACGUUGAGGCUCGAAAGUGCGGGUAUCGAACAGGAUUAGAUACCCUGGUAGUCCGCACGGUAAACGAUGGAUGCCCGCUGUUGGUCUGAAUAGGUCAGCGGCCAAGCGAAAGCAUUAAGCAUCCCACCUGGGGAGUACGCCGGCAACGGUGAAACUCAAAGGAAUUGACGGGGGCCCGCACAAGCGAAGGAACAUGUGGUUUAAUUCGAUGAUACGCGAGGAACCUUACCCGGGCUUGAAUUGCAGAGGAAGGAUUUGGAGACAAUGACGCCCUUCGGGGCCUCUGUGAAGGUGCUGCAUGGUUGUCGUCAGCUCGUGCCGUGAGGUGUCGGCUUAAGUGCCAUAACGAGCGCAACCCCUCUCCUUAGUUGCCAUCAGGUUAAGCUGGGCACUCUGGGGACACUGCCACCGUAAGGUGUGAGGAAGGUGGGGAUGACGUCAAAUCAGCACGGCCCUUACGUCCGGGGCUACACACGUGUUACAAUGGCAGGUACAGAGAGACGGUCCCUUGCAAAAUGGAUCAAAUCCUUAAAGCCUGUCUCAGUUCGGACUGGGGUCUGCAACCCGACCCCACGAAGCUGGAUUCGCUAGUAAUCGCGCAUCAGCCAUGGCGCGGUGAAUACGUUCCCGGGCCUUGUACACAC
rnacentral:rRNA from 1 species